rnacentral:lncRNA from 1 species
CUUGAUGAAGGAGAAUAAAUAUGACCCCACAGACAGUGGGAGAUGGGCACUGAGCUUCGGUUUGGUUUGCUCUGCCUUACCAUUCUUCGCUAAAGGCACGCACGCAUGUAUUGGUUCGCCUUACAUAGCAUUGUUGAGCUCAACAUGUUAUAAUACUGCUGUUGAGAGAGACACUCCCAAGAACUGCUCAUGAAGUUCCUGCGGCAACUUGCCACUUCUGUGGCCUCACCUCGGGUGGUUGGAGAUCCUGGUGGUUUCUUCAGGAUUGAACUGCAGCUGCCUGGUGUCUGUUUGCUGAAAGGACUGGACUGGACUGAAAGGACUGGACUGGACUGUAGCGGCUGGUUCAUGUGUGCUGUCUGCCUGCCUGCCUAGAGGACUGGUCUGCAGCUGCAAAGUUGUGUUUGGUGUUUGCUACAGGACUGAACUGCUGCGUAAGAAGAUGGAGCUUCCCCCAAAGAACUAUUGUUGAACAGAAAACAUUGCAGACUUGGCUAUGCAUGUAGAGUUUGUGACUAGAAGUCGAGGUGCUUAGAAAGCAAAAAGAACCAGGGGGAGAACAACAGAGUUCAAGCUUGGUGAGUAGGACCGGGAAUGGACUGCAUGGAGAAAAGGGGAAAGAAAAUAGGCUGGACAAUAAAACACUGCCCUGCCCUGCUCCACGCACUUUCGAUACCAGGUGCCCAAAGUGCCUCAGUGAGACAAGGAGCCGGGAAGAGCAAGCACAAAGGGUUAAUGUGCAACCGAGUGCACCACCAGAGGAUUUG